UACAGAGGGCGCAAGCGUUAAUCGGAAUUACUGGGCGUAAAGCGUGCGUAGACGGUUAUUUAAGUCAGGUGUGAAAGCCCAGGGCUCAACCUUGGAAUUGCAUUUGAGACUGAAUAGCUAGGGUGCGGAAGAGGGAAGCGGAAUUUCCGGUGUAGCGGUGAAAUGCGUAGAUAUCGGAAGGAACACCAGUGGCGAAAGCGGCUUCCUGGUCCAGCACCGACGUUCAGGCACGAAAGCGUGGGGAGCAAACAGG
rnacentral:rRNA from 1 species